UAUGACCCAUACUGAGGAAAGGAAUCAGCAGGUAGUAAAAUUUGAGUUUGAUUCGUAAUGUUAGAAGUUAUUUCAUCCUUUACCUGUGAUUCUGUAUUAUCAACUCUUUGAUCAGCGAGUACAUCUUUGGGUAACCCAUCCGGGUAUUUCAACAAAACUUGCUCAUUUCUUUCCCAAUUUUCUGGAAAUAACUCCAAAGUCUGUUGUUCUGUUAACAUUUUAUUGAUAAGAACCGAGUUUAUAAACAGAAUUCUACAAAGUUGCCCUUUGUCAAUUCCUUUGUAGUGGGACUAAAUCUGUAAGUCAAGUGUAUGUACGGUUUAAUGCUUCCAGAAAGCAAAGUCUAUAAUUGCAUUCUAAUGAACUUUCAAAGGAUUAUGCUGACACAUAUCAUUUCUGAUAAUUACUAAAUUAUACAGACAUUGUCUUUAAGGGCUAGACUAUGACUGACAAAAGAAUUUUUGAUCUUGGAAUUGAGGACAAACUACGGAUAUCAAUUUUGAUUAACAAUUCUAUUUUUUUAGGUCCCUUGAGCUAAACAUAGUUUAUUAUUAAGGUGCGCGCUUUUCCCGUUUUCUCGUACACUGCCAAGAAUCCACAGAUCAUGAGGGUGAGUAAUCAUGAAAUCCGGACUCCAAAAGUAGGCGGCUGAAAAUAAAAUACUGGCAGAAUCAUUUGCAAAUAAAAAGAUAGAAUAAAUAAGGAGAAAUACUUAGUGAAAUUCCAAAAUUAUUUGUUUUUUUUUACAUCGUACCAAAACAUCAAAAAUUAAGGAGAGAAAAAAAUAGAAAACGUG